AUGGACCAAUCCAUCCCUUUUUCCCGUGCAUAUGCAUCGGACUUGGAUGACGAUGGUCCCGAUGAAGAAGUUGAUGAGGAGGGGUUCACGCCGAAGGAGGCCGAAGCAUUCAAGAAGGUAUUCGGGCGGGAUCACAAGACACCAUUGUUCAAGGAUCUUAGUCUCGCGGAUGAAGCCGUUGUGGAUGGUGGCAAAUGCAUAUCUCUUGGAGCUAGGCCAAGUUCUCACCGUGAUUUGGAAGACGGCAAGAACGGGAUAUAUCCCGGUUGUGAGUUUCAAUCCUUCUUGGAAUUGAAGAUGUGGCUCGACAACUACUCGGUUACACAUUAUCGUCCACAUAAAGUGGCCAACUCGGAUGUUAAUGUGCAUUACACGGUCAAAUGUGAAGUGCCAACAUGUCCAUGGAUUGUGCAUGCAAGGCCAUGGAAAGGAGGUCCCACUUGGCGCAUAGUGAGUUGUCUACCAACUCACAUGUGCCGGCAUAAGAAUGCGGAUGGCAAGCUUGUGUACCAACAACACAGACAACUCACGUCCGAGUUCAUUGCUUACAGGCUUUCCAACCAAAUAUCCACACUUCCAAUAAUGAGCAUCAAGAGUGUCAUUGACCUUGUGAAAGCCAUCUUUCAUUACAAGGUGAAGUACGGCAAGGCAUGGAAGGCGAAGCAAGCCGCAUUCAAUAUGUUGUAUGGCAAUUGA
rnacentral:rRNA from 1 species